rnacentral:lncRNA from 1 species
AAAGUUGAUCUGCUGAAACGCUUCAGCUUCCCUGGCAGCCAGGAGUCCUGCCCCAGAUCCCGCCCCGCCUCCAACUGAAUAUUGGGGCAGUCAGGCUCGUGCCAGUUGGUCCGUUUUGGCUCUGAACAGUGGUGAAGAAUUUAUUCUUGGAGUCUGGCUGGGCAGCGGCUGGAGGAGUGGAAGUUGCCUGAAACCAGAUGUUCAAAAGAUCUUCACUAAGACGCUAGGAAUGGUGCUUCGCUGCCUUGGAUUUUUCUGACUCUGCCUCCCGCAG